rnacentral:rRNA from 1 species
UACGAAGGGGGCUAGCGUUGCUCGGAAUUACUGGGCGUAAGGCGCACGUAGGCGGCUUUCUAAGUCGGGGGUGAAAUCCUGGAGCUCAACUCCAGAACUGCCUUCGAUACUGGAAAGCUCGAGUCCGGGAGAGGUGAGUGGAACUGCGAGUGUAGAGGUGAAAUUCGUAGAUAUUCGCAAGAACACCAGUGGCGAAGGCGGCUCACUGGCCCGGUACUGACGCUGAGGUGCGAAAGCGUGGGGAGCAAACAGGG